CCAAUAGCGUAUAUUAAAGUUGUUGCAGUUAAAAAGCUCGUAGUUGAACUUCGGGACCAAUGGAUUGGUCAUGCCGAUGGUAUGAACUGGUCAUAUUGGUUCUCACCUUCUAAGGAACCAUGAUGUCAUUUAUUUGAUGUUGUGGGGAAUUAGGACUGUUACCUUGAAAAAAUUAGAGUGUUUAAAGCAGGCUAACGCUUGAAUACAUUAGCAUGGAAUAAUGAAAUAGGACAUCGCAUUCUAUUUUGUUGGUUUCUAGGAUCGAUGUAAUGAUUAAUAGGGAUAGUUGGGGGCAUUAGUAUUCAAUUGUCAGAGGUGAAAUUCUUGGAUUUAUUGAAGACUAACUACUGCGAAAGCAUUUGCCAAGGAUGUUUUCAUUAAUCAAGAACGAAAGUUAGGGGAUCGAAGACGAUCAGAUACCGUCGUAGUCUUAACCAUAAACUAUGCCGACUAGGGAUCGGAUGAUGUUGAUUUUUUAAUGACUCAUUCGGCGCCUUACG
rnacentral:rRNA from 1 species